AUGCCAUCCUGCUGUGGGGGAACCAGACGAAAUCCCUCUGGGUACUCAUUGACUCUGGGGCCAAUGAGAGUUUUUUGGGGGGAUGCUACCCUGGUGUUUGAGCUGGGCAACCCCACUCAGCCCCUCUCCAUUCCCGUGGACGUUAGAGCGGUGGUCGGGCGCUCUAUAGGCCAGGUCACUCACAAUACCACUCCCAUCAACCUACAAGUGUUAGGGAACCACAGCGAGGCAAUCCAAUUUAUGCUGAUUAAGUCUCCUCGGGUUCCCGUGGUAUUGUGUAUCUCUUGGCUCCAGCAACACAAUCCCCUCAGACUGGACUGCUGGUGCCAUUAUGUGCUGGAGCCCAUUCUGCCGUGCCCAUUGUCUGAAGUCAGCACAGCCUGCCCAAGGACGUCCAGCUCACAGCCCAGUCUUCCUACAGGCUGGUUAAGACCUCAGGGGACUAAAGUAUCUAAGGAAUGGAUCCAGGACAUCUCUCUGGACCUUCAGUGUUUGUCAACAUCGCCACCGCGUUUGUUUUGCUGACUUGUUCAAUUCCAAAAUAAAAUAACUCCCAAAGAGAGUGUCUUUGUAAGCAACUCCCGUGUAUAUUUGGCCUUGUGUUUUAGGUUAUUGUCCUGCUGAAAGUGAAUUUGUAUCCCAGUGUCUGUUGGAAAGCAGACUGAACCAGGUUUUCCUCUAGGACUUUGCCUGUGCUUAGCUCUUGUAGAUGAAAAAUAGAGAGUGAACAAAUGUGAACGAUGAUGUGAUGAAGAUGACACUUGCUGACGCCAGCCUGGCAUGUUGAUUCAAUUUGACAUUGUCCGGAUGGAUGGCUUUAUGUUUGAAUCUCACAGGAGUGAGUCACACCUUCACUGUGGAAAUCUCGGGGAAGAGACGUUCCCAAGGAAGUCCUGAGGUCUGACGCCAGGAGAGGUAUGACGACUGAUCAAUUCUAUUUAUAUAGCCCUUCUUACAUCAGCUGAUAUAUCAAAGUGCUGUACAGAAACCCAGCCUAAAACUCCAAACAGCAAGCAAUCUAGGUGUAGAAGCACAGUGGCUAGGAAAAACUCCCUAGAGAGGCCAAAACCUAGAAAGAAACCUAGAGAGGAACCAGGCCAUGAGGGGUGGCCAGUCCUCUUCUGGCUGUGCCGGGUGGAGAUUAUAACAGAGCAUGGCCAAGAUGUUCAAAUGUUCAUAAAUGACCAGCAUGGUCAAAUAAUAAUAAUCACAGUAGUUGUCAAGGGUGCAACAAGUCAGCACCUCAGGAGUAAAUGUCAGUUGGCUUUUCAUAGUCAAUCAUUGAGAGUAUCUCUACCGCUUCUGCUCUCUCUAGAGUGUUGAAAACAACAGGUCUGGGGCAGGUAGCACGUCCGGUGAACAGGUCAGGGUUCCAUACCCGCAGGCAGAACAGUUGAAGUGCAGCAGCACGGCCAGGUGGACUGGGGACUGCAAGGAGUCAUCAUGCCAGGUAGUCCUUAGGCAUGGUCCUAGGGCUUAGGUCCUCCGAGAGAAAGAAAGAGAGAAUUAGAAAGAGCAUACUUAAAUUCACACAGGACACCGGAUAAGACAGGAGAAAUACUCCAGAUAAAACAGACUGACCCUAGCCCCCCGACACAUAAACUACUGCAGCAUAAAUACUGGAGGCUGAGACAGGAGGGGUCAGGAGACACUGGCCUCAUCCGAUGAUACCCCCGGACAGGGCCAAACGGGCAGGAUAUAACCCCACCCACUUUGCCAAAGCACAGCCCCCACACCACUAGAGGGAUAUCUUCAACCACCAACUUACCAUCCUGAGACAAGGCGGAGUAAAGCCCAUAAAGAUCUCCUCCACGGCACAACCCAACGGGGGGCGCCAACCCAGACUGAUAAACUUGAAUUACGAAAUUGAUGUUGCUGUGUGUGAAUUAAAUUGUGAUGUUUGGAUUGUUUCAAGAUUUCACAAAGAGCUAUGCGUUUUGCUAUGUCUUAUUGCGUUGUAUUUUUUCUGGAUGGUGUAUUUUUAAAGUGACUGGAUUGAAAUUGUAUUUUGAGUUGACUGGUUAUCAGGCCCAUUCCUGUUGUCUGGUCAUAACAUUAAAAUUGAGUUGAUUAGAAUAUGGGUGUGUUCCUGUAUUUUUGUCUUUACUAACAAAGUGCUAAGAAAUGUUCAUUUAGGUUGG
ensembl:lncRNA